AUACAGAGGGUGCAAGCGUUAAUCGGAAUUACUGGGCGUAAAGCGCACGUAGGCGGUUUGUUAAGUUGGAUGUGAAAGCCCCGGGCUUAACCUGGGAGGGUCAUUCAAAACUGGCAGACUAGAGUGUGGUAGAGGGUAGUGGAAUUCCUAGUGUAGCGGUGAAAUGCGUAGAGAUUAGGAGGAACACCAGUGGCGAAGGCGACUGCCUGGACCAACACUGACGCUGAGGUGCGAAAGCGUGGGUAGCGAACAGGAUUAGAAACCCUGGUAGUCC
rnacentral:rRNA from 1 species